GAUGAAGAACGUAGCGAAAUGCGAUAAGUAGUGUGAAUUGCAGAAUUCAGUGAAUCAUCGAAUCUUUGAACGCACACUGCGCCCCUUGGUAUUCCAUGGGGCAUGCCUGUUCGAGCGUCAUUUGUACCUUCAAGCUUUGCUUGGUGUUGGGUGUUUGUCUCGCCUUUGCGUGUAGACUCGCCUUAAAAUAAUUGGCAGCCGGCGUAUUGAUUUCGGAGCGCAGUACAUCUCGCGCUUUGCACUCAUAACGACAGCGUCCAAAAGUACAUUUUACACUCUUGACCUCGGAUCAGGUAGGGAUACCCGCUGAACUUAAGCAUAUCAAUAAGCGGAGGA
rnacentral:misc_RNA from 1 species